AAUUUUGCAGCCAUUUUAGAGCAGAUCCUCAGCCACCGCUUCAAAGGUGGGCCCAGCGCCCCUCCCCCAGCGGUCCCUCCCCCAGCGCCCCUCCCCCAGUGGUCCCUCCCCCAGCGCCCCUCCCCCAGCGGUCCCUCCCCAACUCCCAACCUUUAGCUCCCAGCCACCUCUUUCUGAUAUACUCCAUGGACUCUGAACCCCCUCAUUGACCCUGGCCCCCA
rnacentral:lncRNA from 1 species